CAUGACUGGGGUGAACACCCCUAUUCUACGCUGGGCAAUGUCCUCCAAUUUAAUCAAGCCCCGACCAUCUGCUCAAGAAAAAAUAGCCUGCAGCUGAAUCUAGUCGAUGAUCCCUGCUGUAGACAUUCAGAAUGGUGAAAGAAAUGCAUGCUGAGGGCAAAUAAACAGCCACUACAUAUUAUCACUAAUUCAAACAGGUCUAUAAUAGAUAAAAAUACCAAAUAUGUUACAACUUCCCCUGGUUUCCCCUUACUAAUAGUGAGCACACAACUUUAAAAUAAUUUCCCUCAUUCUUCCCUACCAGCAAAUCAAGGACAUUCUGAUAAGCGAAAGAAUGUUUGAGGAUAUUUUCAAAGAAAGUAAUGGACAGUAAUGUUAGGAGUAAAGUAGGAAGCGCAGGUCUCAAUAGGCGGAAAUAUAUUAAUGUGUCAUAAAAGGAGUGUGGCCUGGCAAAGCGUUUUUAUCCGCUGACUGAAUGGGUGCUGAUAUUCUGAGGUUUUUUUACUACAUCGGUCUCGGGAAGAAAUGAUGAGUUCUCAUUAACCAGGUUCCAUCCAAUCUUUAUAUGCAAGUAAAGUAUGUUGGAUAAACAUUUUUACUACAGGCCUGAUGGAAACAGCUAAUUUGUCGGUAAACUUUCCAAACCAAAUACGCUAGACAAGGUGGGAUAUUUGUGUGUUAGUAGCUAGGAUAUGAAAAAUUCCGCAUAAAGUAAAUAUGAAUAUUUUCACCAAACGGACUUGUUGUGGAUAAAAAUCUGUGUGUAGAGACGUAGUGCACACAACAUUUAUUUUUCAAUGUGUUUCUAUAGUUAUAUCACAAACAUUCUUUGGCGUUAUUAAAUAGUGAAUGUGCCUACUCAGGUUUUUGAACGUGCGUUCUAGCCAACAGCUCGCAGAAACUAGGCUAUGAGGGUAGACCCACAUGAUGCGAUUAUUGUGAAUAUUUGUGUUUGUCAAACGGCAGUCAAGCAUCGAUCAUCAUAUCACUAGAAUCAGACCUUCGAUAUUUACUGGAAAGCAGCAUCAAGAUCACGUGCACUUUCAACACCCUGUGAAGUUUAUUUAUUUAUUUAAUCUGUAGCCUAAUAAAUGUAAUGCUUUCGCUCUCUUGUCCAUAAUAGGAAUAUCAUUGUGUAUGCAGCCUACCUGCAUCUACUGUAUCGGCGAGCUGUCGGCGAGAGCGCACGUGCAAAGACGCAAGUGGGGACAUUCGCUAUAACCCAACAUGUUUUGUCACAAAACGAUCAGUAGAUUUGAAAAUGCGAUGGAAACCAAUUUCAUUGUAUUUUUUAUUCGGUACAUGGUAAUUUAACCGCAAAAUUAUUUUUUCUGUGCAUUACGUCAUCACGGACAUUUAUUUUAAUCCGCAAAAAGUAAAUGUAAUGCAAACAACUCUGGUGGGAAAAUGGAGCAUAUUGUUUGUAUGCAGAUUUGGAUGGAAACCAAGCCAUUGACAUACUUGUUAGAUUACACAGGCUUUGCCAGGAGUCCACACCACACACACGAAUAAUGGUAACACCUUCAGCAUUCUGCAUGUGCCUGCAACACCACAGACGGCCAGCAGAUAUAACCCUUGCUUGACUUCCAUCAAUAAAACUAAGGCCAAGAAAGAAUUUGUAAUUUCUCAAAUGUUUCCCAAAUUGCACCUAAGGUUUUGAUUAUUAGAGUCUGUAAAUGUCAGAUUCAAAUUUAAUAAGUAGCCACAUUUUUUAAAUGUAAAUUCAAAGCAGAUGUAUUUAACAGUUUGUCACUCCUCUGAAGGGAGGGACUGUAUGACUGAUCUUUAGUAGUGGCAAUGGUUAUUAAUGGAACUGAUUAUUCCAGUGAAUUCUAAACAAUUUGAGUCAAUGGGUCUGUUUGGCUGCAAGGCUGGUGUCAGUCUGGGAACACCCACUGUCUCUUUCCAGCUCCCCUCCCUCUCCUCAUCUCUCUAUCCAACAUCAGUCUGAGCUCCACACCUCCUCAGGACAGACCUGCAGUACACCCAGAAUUCUGUGAGGUCUCAUCAGAUCUGGAUUUUCCUCAUUGCCAUCUGAUCAAGAUCCAACAGGUUCUGGGUAUAAAGGCUCAUCACAUCAGUUUACUGGAUCCACAAGCACAUCUACCUACAAUUUGAUACUUUCUCAUUCUAAACUGAGUUGAAGGGGAUCUCUCCAUACCAGGCCAUGCGGGUGAGCCGGGUGUUACAGCUGUCCGUCUGCCUGGUGGGCCUCAGCCUGGCAUGGCACUCCCCAUCACCAGGUAAACCCUCCAUAGAGGCCAGGUUCCUGUGGCCCAGAUACAGGUGCUUUCUGUGGGGCUGCUCCAAAUGCUCCAGGGGGUGCAGGAGAGUGCCUGGAGGAUGGAGAGGCAGGGUGACCAAGUGUCAGAGGAGCUGGUGGGAGACACCCAGGCUGUGGAGAGGUUACGAGAGCAAGGUGUGCAGGUAGGAAGGACCCAAAGGCAGGUGACGAAGAACCUCCAGAUGAUGACCGCACAGAGCGACAGGCUGGAGAAUGCAGCCCAGGAUGUGCAGCUGGGACUGGAGACUUUAUUGGCCGAGCAAGGUGCCUUGGAGCUCAGGAUGUGCCGUGUCCUGGAGAGGGUGCAGAGCAUAACCAAGCCAGUUCUAAGGAUGGAAAAACAGCUUAAUAUGAACCUGAUGAAGGUGAUAGUGGACACUCAGUCCAGACGUCUGGCUGACCUAGCCUUGGAGGUUAUGACCCGGGACAGAUUUAUUGAUAAGCAUCUGCAGCACAUUGUUGACCUGGAGGAACAGGCGUCUCGUAUCAGAGGGGAGAGGCCUCCCACCAGCGCUGAGGGCCGAUUCUGAUGAUGGCUCUGGCCCUUGUCUGGGCAACAACCACAGCUGCAUCAACAUAAACACUCCAUUCAAAACAACAAGAAAACAACAUAGUUAUAGUCGAAAUCUGAGAAAGAAAGAAACAUAGCAUUAUUCAUACAAUAUUCAAGCUUAAUUUCUUCAUCCAGAUACUAUGAGAUGAUCUGAUUGGGAUUUUAAAAGGUAGACAUCCUUGUUGGGUAAUCUCCAAAGUGUUGUGGCUCUGUGUUAAUGUUUAAGGUUGAUAUUUGGAAGCCUUGUAUUGCAAUCCCUUGUCAGCUGGUGCCUCUAGGGCAAUUCAGGCAGAUGUUAGAGGGACCUUUUACUGAAGAAUGUGUUUGUUUCAUACAAUUGUGUUUUGCUUUUGUUGUUUUGUUUUCAUGCAUUGUGUAAUUGAUGUGUAUAGAUAUCCAUAGUGUAAUGGUUGUUUAUUGAAGUGUUCAUGCAGGGCUCAUCUACAAAAGAGACCUUGGUCUCAGCAUGACUCAAUGCUUAAAACUGCAAUAUGUAACUUUUUGGGAAACCCCACCAAAUUGACAUAGACAUAUGUGUUAUAGAUCUGUCAUUUGCAUUGAAAGCAAGUCUAAGAAGCCGUAGAUCUUUUCUAUGAGCACUAUUUCUAUGCUACCUGUGCUUAAGUUUUGUUUUUGCGUCUUUUACUUUUGCUUUUGUACACCAGCUUCAAAUAGCUGAAAAUACAAUAUUUUGGGCUAUGGAAAAAUAUAUUUUACACUGAUUUAGAUGGUACAGUGAUUCUCUACACUAUAUUGCUUGUUUUGCCACAUAAACUGAAAUUAGGCAAACUAAUAGAAUUUUAGCAACCAGUACAUUUCUGCAUAGUGCAUCUUUAAAUAAAGGCAAACCUUUUUUAAAUAAAUGCAACCACAACCAAAUAAACAGACUCAAGGUAAUGGACUGGAUCAGACUGGCUGGAAAAAGAAUAUUCCUGACAACUUUGGCUGAUUGGAUAAUUUAUUUAUUUAUUUCACCUUUAUUCAACCAGGUAGGCUAGUUGAGAACAAGUUGUCAUUUACAACUGCGACCUGGCCAAGAUAAAGCAAAGCAGUGCGACACAAACAACAGCCCAGAGUUACACAUGGAAUAAACAAACAUACAGUCAAUAAUACAAUAGGGAAAGUCUAUAUACAGUGUGUGCAAAUGAGGUAGGAUAAGGGGGGUGAGGCAAUAAAUAGGCCAUAGUGGCAAAAUUACUACGGUAUGGCAAAUUAAACACUGGGGUGAUAGAUGUGCAGAAGAUAAGUGUGCAAGUAGCGGUACUGGGGUGCAAAGGAGCAAAAUAAAUAACAUAAAUAACAAUAUGGUGAUGAGGUAGUUGGAUAGGCUAUUUACAGAUUGGCUAUGUACAGGUGCAGUGAUCUGUGAGCUGCUCUGACAGCUGGUGCUUAAAGCUAGUGAGGGAGAUAUGAGUCUCCAGCUUCAGAGAUUUUUACAGUUCAUUCCAGUCAUUGGCAGCAGAGAACUGGAAGGAAAGGCGGCUGAAGGAGGAAUUGGCUUUGGGGGUGACCAGUGAACUAUACCUGCUGGAGCGCGUACUGUGGGUGGGUGCUUCUAUGGUGACCAGUGAGCUGAGAUAAGGUGGGGCUUUACCUGGCAACGACUUAUAGAUGACCUGGAGCCAGUGGGUUUGGCGACGGAUAUGAAGCGAGGGCCAGCCAACGAAAGCAUACAGGUCGCAGUGGUGGGUAGUAUAUGGGGCUUUGGUGAUAAAACAGAUGGCACUGUGAUAGACUGCAUCCAAUUUGCUGAGUAGAAUGUUGGAGGCUAUUUUGUAAAUGACAUCACCAAAGUCAAGGAUCGGUAGGAUAGUCAGUUUUACGAGGGUGUGUUUGGCAGCAUGAGUGAAGGAUGCUUUGUUGCGAAAUAGGAAGCCGAUUAUAGAUUUGAUUUUGGAUUGGAGAUGCUUAAUGUGAGUCUGGAAGGAGAGUUUACAGUCUAACCAGACACCCAGGUAUUUGUAGUUGUCCACAUAUUCUAAGUCAGAACCAUCCAGAGUAGUGAUGCUGGACGGGUGGGUAGGUAUGGGCAGCGAUCGGUUGAAGAGCAUGCAUUUAGUUUUGCUUGCCUUUAAGAGCAGUUGGAGGCCACGGAAGGAGAGUUGUAUGGCAUUGAAGCUCGUCUGGAGGUUAGUUAACACAGUGUCCAAAGAAGGGCCAGAAGUAUACAGAAUGGUGUCGUCUGCGUAGAGGUGGAUCAGAGAAUCACCAGCAGCAAGAGCGACAUCAUUGAUGUAUACAGAGAAAAGAGUCGGCCCGAGGAUUGAACCCUGUGGCAACCCCAUAGAGACCGCCAGAGGUCCGGACAACAGGCCCUCCGAUUUGACACACUGAACUCUGUCUGAGAAGUAGUUGGUGAACCAGGCGAGGCAGUCAUUUGAGAAACCAAGGCUGUUGAGUCUGCCGAUAAGAAUGUGGUGAUUGAAAGAGUCAAAAUCCUUGGCCAGGUCUAUGAAUACAGCUGCACAGUAUUGUCUCUUAUCGAUGGUGGUUAUGAUAUCAUUUAGGACCUUGAGCGUGGCUGAGGUGCACCCGUGACCAGCUCUGAAUAGCGGAGAAGAUACGGUGGGAUUCGAAAUGGUCGGUGAUCUGUUUAUUAACUUGGCUUUCGAAAACCUUAGAAAGGCAGGGUUCGAUAGAUAAUUCUCCUUGAACCUACAAAAAAAGGCUCUGUGGCUGUAUUCUAGAGGUACAGGAGUCGUCCUCCCGCCCAAAACAGGAGAUUCACAUCUUCUCAGCUGUCCGACAACCAAAGGUUGUGUGUGAAAGCUUUGAGGACUGAGGUCCUAUCUGAUGGCCUCAAGUCUGUGAGAUCUAAAUGCAGGAUUGCUGUCUGACUGGUGUUCCCAAACAAACCCAGCCAGAGCAACAAACUCUGACCCAACAUGACAAAGAGAAUAUACAGUAAUGUUCCUGUAAAUCUAUUUGAUACAUUUUAUCGAUUUAGCAGACGCUCUUAUCCAGAGCGACCUACAGGAGCAAUUAGGGUUAGGUACUUUGCUCAAGGCCGCAUCGACUGAUUUGUUUCACCUAGUUGGCUUGGGGAUUCGAAGCAACGACUUUUCGGCCCAACACUCUUACCCGCUAGCUACCAGGCGCCCCACUGACAUAAUCCAACAGGUCUUUACUCUUUAAUUCAUAUACAUUUCAUUUCAGUCAACCUAUGUUACCAGACAUGUCUAUUGAAGAUGGAAGACCAAAGCAUAUUGAGUGUACAAUUUCAUUGUCACACACAAUAUGUUCAGUUUUAGGUAUGAUCUUUGUCGUGUUGUGUAGAGUAUGAUGAUGAGCUUCAGAGUACAGUAGGUCUAGGCUAUCAUGAUUCUGAACUACACUGAACAAAAUAUAAAUGCAACAUGUAACGUGUAUGUUUCAACAUGCAACAUGUAUGUUUCAUGAACUGAAAUAAAAGAUCCCUGAAUUUUUCUGUAUGCA
rnacentral:lncRNA from 1 species